rnacentral:rRNA from 1 species
UACGAAGGGUGCAAGCGUUACUCGGAAUUACUGGGCGUAAAGCGUGCGUAGGUGGUUUGUUAAGUCUGAUGUGAAAUCCCCGGGCUUAACCUGGGAACUGCGUCCGAUACUGGAUGGCUUGAAUCCGGGAGAGGGAUGCAGAAUUCCAGGUGUAGCGGUGAAAUGCGUAGAUAUCUGGAGGAAUACCGGUGGCGAAGGCGGCAUCCUGGACCGGCAUUGACGCUGAGGAGCGAAAGCCAGGGGAGCAAACGGG